rnacentral:rRNA from 1 species
GACGAACGCUGGCGGCGUGCUUAACACAUGCAAGUCGAACGGAAAGGCCCUGCUUUUGUGGGGUGCUCGAGUGGCGAACGGGUGAGUAACACGUGAGUAACCUGCCCUUGACUUUGGGAUAACUUCAGGAAACUGGGGCUAAUACCGGAUAGGAGCUCCUGCUGCAUGGUGGGGGUUGGAAAGUUUCGGCGGUUGGGGAUGGACUCGCGGCUUAUCAGCUUGUUGGUGGGGUAGUGGCUUACCAAGGCUUUGACGGGUAGCCGGCCUGAGAGGGUGACCGGCCACAAUGGGACUGAGGUACGGCGCAGAAUGCUACGGGAGGCAGCAGUGGGGAAUAUUGCACAAUGGGCGGAAGCCUGAUGCAGAAACGCCGCGUGCGGGAUGACGGCCUUCGGGUUGUAAACCGCUUUCGCCUGUGACGAAGCGUGAGUGACGGUAAUGGGUAAAGAAGCACCGGCUAACUACGUG